ACCAGCAGCCAUGUCACCCUGCAACUCACACCUGGCAGCCCACUGAAGAUCAGCAGGUGUGAGCCUGGUCAGUACCUGGAUGGGAGACUCCUGGGAAAAACUAAGGCUGAUGCUGGAA
rnacentral:rRNA from 1 species